CGGGGCAUAGCUCAGCUGGUAGAGCGCUCGGUUUGGGACCGAGAGGUCACAGGUUCAAAUCCUGUUGCCCCGA
rnacentral:tRNA from 1 species